CAUUCAUAUCACCGACACACAUGCAAUGAGAAGUGUGUAUCGUGCUAGUGACGAUGGAAAUUGCAGCUGACUUUGCCCGCCGUGGGCUACGCUUUGUCGGCUUCCUUGGAUGCGGCGCUUUCGGAGACGCGUAUGUUGUUCGGGAUGCAAGCGACACCUGCUUUGUUGUGAAGCGUUCAAAAUCGCUGGUGAAGCAAUCCGGCUUUCUUGAGGAGUAUCUCGGAAUGAUGAAUCUGUGCAGUCUCAAUGUGGUAACGUCCCACGACGCAUGGAUCGACCACGAGAGCCGGGUCUGUAUUCUCAUGGACUACUGCGACGCCGGGGAUCUUGGUGACUACCUGAAAAAGGGCUACCCCUUGCCGGAGGAGGAGGUGCUUAGUAUUGUUGCUCAACUCCUUCUCGGGCUUGAUCACAUACACAAGAGAAACAGAGUGCACCGUGACAUAAAACCGGAAAACAUAUUCCUCUCAUCAACGAGGGCAGGUGGCGGUAGGUGGCCUGUGGCAAAGCUCGGCGAUUUCGGUUCGGUGAAGCGCCUUUCGCGCUGUGGUGCGCGCGUCGUUUCGCGCGUCGGCACCCCGCUUUACCUGGCGCCAGAGAUUAUUGCGGGCUACGCCUACACAUCAAAGGCGGAUAUUUGGAGCAUGGGGCUUGUUGUCUAUCGUUUGAUGGUGAACAAUUCGCCGUUUAGGGUCACCAGUGUGGACACUCACACAAGGUGUGUCCUGAGGCUUUCCCCUCCUCACCCUAGCACGCUGAGUGGGUACAGCCGAGCGCUUGGGGACUGCGUGAUGGCGAUGCUGAGCAGAAACUGGAAGCGCCGACCUAACGCUCAAGCACUACUGCGUUGUGAUUUGUUUCAACCGACGUUGCUGCGGCAUCCCUGGAUACCCACGCCGCUACAUGUAUCUCCGUGCCUAUUUGUGCAACUGCGGUCGUCACUGCUCGCGGUCUAUGCAGCACCGAGUGAGCGUGCCCGAACUCUACGCACCCUCGAAUUCGGCGAUCAAGUAUACCUUUCUUCUCCAAGGGAUCACUCGCACCAUGGCGUGUGGUUGGAGGUGUUGCACCCGUUUGCCGGGUUCAUCCGAAAUACGGUUAAGGGCGAGCCUCUUUUCGACUCGUAUGCUUCGGAUGAGUGCAUGGCCAGUAUCGGUAGCCUAACCAGGGUACUGGAUCGUGCAGGGAAGCAAGUGCGCCGUGACAUUUCUUGACCAGCUGUGCGGGGGUGAUGAGUAGGCCAGCUCGAAGACCGCCGAGCUACUCGGUAUGCCUUUGCUUUUAUAGAGUGUUGCCGAUCGGAGCACCCUUGGGGAAAGGCUCAAGAGUUGCACGACGAAUCUGUGCAACGCAGCUUCUUGCACCGGUGGUGUUUCACUUGUUGUUUCUCUGAAUGGACUGCUUUGUUUCUGCUACGCUACGCGUCUUUCCUGCCCACACUACCAUACCCCACGACUAUAUCGCAGUAGUCGAUGAGUUGGUGCUGGAAGAAGUGUUAAGAGUUCAUAGAAAAAGAAACGAGCUG
rnacentral:misc_RNA from 1 species